AGCCAAACUCUAGCCCAACCACAUUGACCCGAUAGACCCAAAGCCAUUUAAAACACCAAACCAAAGCAUUUGCUAGUCCCAGUAUAGGCGAUAGAAAAGACUACCUAGGAGCGAUAGAGACACACGUACCGUAAGGGAAGGAUGAAAUAGCAAUGAAACACACUAAGCCAAAAACAGCAAAGAUCAACCCUUGUACCUUUUGCAUCAUGGUCUAGCAAGAAAAACCAAGCAAAAUGAAUUUAAGCUUGCCACCCCGAAACCCAAGCGAGCUACUUGUGAGCAGCUAUUAUUGAGCGAACCCGUCUCUGUUGCAAAAGAGUGGGAUGACUUGCUAGUAGAGGUGAAAAGCCAAACGAGCUGGGUGAUAGCUGGUUGCCUGUGAAACGAAUCUUAGUUCACUCUUAAUUCUUCUCCAAGGACCUACCAUAGAACCCCAAUGAAGCGAAUUAAGGGCUAUUUAAAGGGGGUACAGCUCCUUUAAAAAAGAACACAAUCUCUACCAGCGGAUAAACAAUAUUAACCCAAAGGACUUGUGGGCCCUCAAGCAGCCAUCAACAAAGAGUGCGUCAAAGCUCUCCCAUUUAAAAAUAUGAAAACCUUGUGAAUCCCUCAUCAAUAACAGGCCAACCUAUAUAUCAAUAGGAGAAUUAAUGCUAGAAUGAGUAACCAGGGCUAGCCCCUCUACGACGCAAGCUUACAUCCUCACAUUAUUAACAAGUCACCAAGAUACGACAAUUACAACAAGCAGAGUAUUAGGCAUAUUGUUAACCCGACAGUGGAGCGUCCAUUAAGAAAGAUUAAAACCUGUAAAAGGAACUAGGCAAACCAUCAAGGCCCGACUGUUUACCAAAAACAUAGCCUUCAGCAAACAACAAACAAGUAUUGAAGGUGAUGCCUGCCCGGUGACUUCACGUUAAACGGCCGCGGUAUCCUAACCGUGCAAAGGUAGCGCAAUCAAUUGUCCCAUAAAUCGAGACUUGUAUGAAUGGCUAAACGAGGUCUUAACUGUCUCUUACAGGCAAUCAGUGAAAUUGAUCUCCCUGUGCAAAAGCAGGGAUAAACACAUAAGACGAGAAGACCCUGUGGAACUUUAAAAUCAGCGACCACCCCAAAAAAACUUACACACCUACUAGGUUCACUUCCCCCUUCAAAGGCCUGGUCUGCAAUUUUUCGGUUGGGGCGACCUUGGAGAAAAACAGAUCCUCCAAAAACUAGACCAAAAAUCUAGACCAAGAGCAACAACUCGACGUGCUAACAGCACCCAGACCCAAUAUAAUUGAUCAAUGAACCAAGCUACCCCAGGGAUAACAGCGCAAUCCCCCUCGAGAGUCCAUAUCGACAGGGGGGUUUACGACCUCGAUGUUGGAUCAGGACAUCCUGGUGGUGCAGCCGCUACCAAGGGUUCGUUUGUUCAACGAUUAACAGUCCUACGUGAUCUGAGUUCAGACCGGAGUAAUCCAGGUCGGUUUCUAUCUAUGACAAAACUCUUCCCAGUACGAAAGGAUCGGAAAAGUAAGGCCAAUACCACAAGCAAGCCUUCGCCUUAAGUAAUGAAACCAACUAAAUUACGAAAGGCUGUCCCACAUCAACCCGUCCUAGAAAAGGACAA
rnacentral:rRNA from 1 species